AACCUGCAAAAAAGAGACUUCAUGCAGUGCUUGCUAUGCUAACUUCCCUUUCAAUUCAAGGCCAAACUCUCUCUCUCUCUCUCUCUCUCUCUCAAGGAGGCUAUUUCCUANAAACUACUCUCUCUCUCUCUCUCUCUCUCUCAAAGGAGGCAUUUUCCACUCCUUCAAUAUAACGCCAAAAAACGUUCUCUUUCUCUCUCCCAUUCUCUCUUUCACUUCUGCUUUUUGGGUUGCAGAGGCCAUUGAGGACAAGGAAG
rnacentral:lncRNA from 1 species